UUGAAGCGGGAUGGGAGUCCUCCAUUUGCUGCUGGUGGACGAUGAACAAGAACGUUGACAGGAUAAAUUACAUCCAUUGCAACAUGCAGAAAUUGGGCAAACGGACACAAGCGGGACUUGAGGCAGUGCACAAACAGCUAACCACGCCUUCCCUAAUGUCAAUCCAGAACCGCAAUGCUCUUGUUAUGUUGUUGUCUGGGAAAGGGAGGGUUUGCGCAAUGUUCAGGGAACGAUGCUGUACCUUCAUCCAGAAUGACACCGCCCCUGAUGGGAGCCUGACGAAGGUGAUUGCAAGCUUGCAAUCCCUCAACACGAGGAUGAAAGAGCACUACAAGUGUAUUCUGCAUUUUGUAAUAAGUUUAAGUAGAAACACGUUUACAUGUAGCGCUUUACCUCCCUCUAAUGGUUGCAGUGGGAAGUUGUUUUUGAGAGCAAAUACCGAAUGGCAGCAAGCAAUGUUGACUCGUGUGCAUCUGUUAAAAGCUGAUGUUUAAACCUUUUAUGUUGUGCCUUGGACAAGAUUUGUCCUUUUACGACGGUCUUAAGAGGGCAAUGGUUUGAGGCCAUUCUACAAAUAAAUCAGCUAAAAGAAACCAAGUCUGAUUGUUUGGAGCGUCGUUAACUCGCUGUCUAGCUGGUGAAAAACUAGAUGCUUCAGAGUGAGGACAGCACAAAGUGGAUGACUGCUUUUGGGAAGUAUAAAGCCCUUGUGUCCUCAAUUACUGCUAUACUCACCUUGUGUGGAUGUUGUUGUAUUCCAUGUCUCCGUGCUCUGUUUAAUCGUCUUAUCACUACAGCAAUCUCGCCCAUGGACGACAAGAUGGCCCGGGUAUGCCUAAUGUCUGAACAGCAACAUGUUGAUGAUAACGAUGAUGAUGAUGCAAUUUUUGCACUUGAGUUUACAGACUUUUUCCCAGAUCUGUGUGUUUCCGAAUGAUGAUGUCGCAACAUUUAUCCUUUUUGGUGGAAAUAUUUGUGCGCAUACUUGUGAUCCGACAACUGAAAAUCGAGAGAAGUGGUUGUUUUUGGUGAUGUAAAAAUUGAGCAAAUAUGUGAUAAACAGGAGGGAAAUGUUGGAAUAAUUUAAGUAAAGCCUUGUCAUUUACAAGUUUAUGGCUUUCCUUUUAUCUAGGUUCUUUCUCUUUAGUGACAGGGAUGUCUUUUGAUCCCUGUCAGCCAUAUGUAUCCUUCCUGUCCUUAUGUUACCUGUGUGUUUUUGUUCCUGUAAGAGGCCUUCACUAACAAUGAGCAGAGCUUAUUUGCAUAGGCAAAAUGUUCUUAUUUGGUUGAAAGAAACUUCAUUCCUUUUAGUUAACUGUAGGUUUGGUUCAUAGAUUGUUGUUGAUCAGAACUGUUUUUCUUUGUUAAGUGUUAAACACAGUUUGAAGUAGUUGCGUACAAGUUAUCCUAUAUUUACUCAAUGUUUGUUUAAGGAACUGCAUACCAGUUACCUUACAUUUACUUAACAUUUGUUUUAGUGUUUAGGACAAGUUACUUAUUGUUAUUGAGUGUUAAUUUACUAAGUAGAUAAAGUCUAGCAAAGGUCUAGUUGCAUUGUUCCACAGGAAAGCGGCAAUUGAAGUUAUCUGAUCUCACUCGCGGACGACUCGGCCAACAACUGGAGAAGAACAGAUGGACAAACUCUGCGGGGGUCACGGGCCGACAAUGAAAUCGGGAUUUGGUCAGCAAACUACUGCGGAUACGGAAGCAAAGACCGAGGUCCAGAUCACCCCAACGUUCUGGCUGAAGGUCCCAAGAAGGAGGGGGACGGAGCCUGCGUCGACUGGACCCUAUAAAUUGGUGGAGUGCAUCUCACAUGCCGUCCGGCUGGCCGACAAAGGAGAUUCGUGGUGUCAUCUGUCCCAGUGCGCCCCAGUGAAGGGUUCCUGCAAGGAACCAGAUCAGCCAUCGACAGUCCCCGCCCCCAGUUCAUACAGAGGCAGAAUAAUCCUCUUCCCCCUUGGUGGCCAGGUAGUCCACCCUGAGCCACUGAAGACAACGACCACUUAGCAGACAUUCCCAAGUUCUCCCCGGACGGAGCAGAUCUGCGAAGGGGGUGAGAAUCGUGCUCACCCUCCACCAGUGGGCGUGCCAAGCCCCCAACGGCUGAACAAUCACGGGCAAUUUUUAUCUUGAUUGAUAACAUUCUGGUCGCCUAAGGCAGAGGGACCGUGUAACUCUUUUCCUGCAUUUAAUCUGGCCGCAGGUAUUUAAAUUACACACACAAUUUGGACUGGAGUAUUGAGGAGAAACCUCAUCUUCACUGGAAGUUAUUGCUUUCAUUGUAUUUUCUUACUUAUGUUUGACUGAUCAGGGUUGACAUAAUCAUAUGAUAAAACAGGAGGGAUAUGUUAGGGUUUGCAUAAUAUCUUCAUCGUAUGAUUAUGUUGGAAUAUAACCUGUAAUAAUUUAACUAGCUUGUCCUGUCUAGACAAAAGUAGUUGACCAAAGUG